ACAAACGCUGUAUGAACAAUAUAGAGGAAAGUCCACGCUCGCACUAUCCUGUGAUGGUAGUAGUGUUUGUGCUUAGGGAAAAAAUAACCUAAGGCAAGUUUAACUUGACGGCGUUGUUUUUAUCUAAAGAUUUAUCCAUGAUAAAAACGACAUAAAGUGCCACAGAGACGAAUCUUUUAGGAAACUAAAAGGGUGAAACGAGGUAAACCCCGCAAGCGAGAAACCCAAAUUUGGUAGGGGAACUAUCCGAAGGGAAUUAGAACUAACGGAUGGAUGAAGAAAUUCAUAGAUAAAUGUUUGUCGCCUUUUAGGUACAAAACGUGGCUUAUU
rnacentral:RNase_P_RNA from 1 species